rnacentral:rRNA from 1 species
CCAUAUCAAUAAGCGGAGGAAAAGAAACUAACAAGGAUUCCCCUAGUAGCGGCGAGCGAAGCGGGAAGAGCUCAAAUUUAUAAUCUGGCACCUUCGGUGUCCGAGUUGUAAUCUCUAGAAAUGUUUUCCGCGUUGGACCGCACACAAGUCUGUUGGAAUACAGCGGCAUAGUGGUGAGACCCCCGUAUAUGGUGCGGACGCCCAGCGCUUUGUGAUACAUUUUCGAAGAGUCGAGUUGUUUGGGAAUGCAGCUCAAAUUGGGUGGUAAAUUCCAUCUAAAGCUAAAUAUUGGCGAGAGACCGAUAGCGAACAAGUACCGUGAGGGAAAGAUGAAAAGCACUUUGGAAAGAGAGUUAACAGUACGUGAAAUUGUUGGAAGGGAAACGCUUGAAGUCAGACUUGCUUGCUGAGCAAUCGGUUUGCAGGCCAGCAUCAGUUUUCCGGGAUGGAUAAUGGUAGAGAGAAGGUAGCAGUUUCGGCUGUGUUAUAGCUCUCUGCUGGAUACAUCUUGGGGGACUGAGGAACGCAGUGUGCCUUUGGCGGGGGUUUCGACCUCUUCACACUUAGGAUGCUGGUGGAAUGGCUUUAAACGACCCGUCUUGAAACACGGACCAAGGAGUCUAACAUGCUUGCGAGUAUUUGGGUGUCAAACCCGGAUGCGUAAUGAAAGUGAAUGGAGGUGGGAACCGCAAGGUGCACCAUCGACCGAUCUGGAUUUUUAAUGAUGGAUUUGAGUAAGAGCACGUAUGUUGGGACCCGAAAGAUGGUGAACUAUGCCUGAAUAGGGCGAAGCCAGAGGAAACUCUGGUGGAGGCUCGUAGCGGUUCUGACGUGCAAAUCGAUCGUCAAAUUUGGGUAUAGGGGCGAAAGACUAAUCGAACCAUCUAGUAGCUGGUUCCUGCCGAAG